AAGCGGUUAGUCUAAGAAAAACACUUGAUUUCGGCUCAAACACUUAUGGUUAAAGUCCAUAACCGCCUA
rnacentral:tRNA from 1 species